UACGGAGGGUGCAAGCCUUGAUCGGAAUUACUGGGCGUAAAGGGCGCGUAGGCGGUUUAAUAAGUCGGAUGUGAAAUUCCGGGGCUCAACCCCGGAGCUGCAUUUGAAACUGUUAAACUAGAGUACAGUUAGGGUAAACGGAAUUCCACGUGUAGCGGUGAAAUGCGUAGAUAUGUGGAAGAACACCGGUGGUGAAGACGGUUUACUGGGCUGUAACUGACGCUGAGGCGCGAAAGCAUGGGGAGCAAACAGG
rnacentral:rRNA from 1 species